rnacentral:rRNA from 1 species
UACGUAGGUGGCAAGCGUUGUCCGGAAUUAUUGGGCGUAAAGCGCGCGCAGGUGGUUUCUUAAGUCUGAUGUGAAAGCCCACGGCUCAACCGUGGAGGGUCAUUGGAAACUGGGGAACUUGAGUGCAGGAGAGAAGAGUGGAAUUCCACGUGUAGCGGUGAAAUGCGCAGAUAUCAGGAGGAACACCAGCGGCGAAGGCGGCGCUCUGGGCCGGUACUGACACUGAGGAGCGAAAGCAUGGGGAGCAAACAGG